rnacentral:sRNA from 1 species
AAGCUUUAACCAAUACCAUGCUGUUGCUUUUGUAUACGAUUUCUAAUAAUAGCAGCAGCGCCCAUUUCCCUGGUGUUGGCGCAGUAUUCGCGCACCCCGGUUUCGAC